UACGGAGGGGGCGAGCGUUAUUCGGAAUUAUUGGGCGUAAAGGGCGCGUAGGCGGCCCGCACAAGUCUGCGGUGAAAACCCCCGGCUUAACCGGGGGCCGGCCGUGGAAACUGUCGGGCUGGAGGCUGGGAGAGGGCAGCGGAAUUCCCGGUGUAGCGGUGAAAUGCGUAGAGAUCGGGAGGAACACCGGCGGCGAAGGCGGCUGCCUGGACCAGUCCUGACGCUGAGGCGCGAAAGCUAGGGGAGCAAACAGG
rnacentral:rRNA from 1 species